rnacentral:rRNA from 1 species
UUAACACAUGCAAGUCGAGCGGUAACAGGGGUAGCUUGCUACCCGCUGACGAGCGGCGGACGGGUGAGUAAUGCUUAGGAAUCUGCCCAGUAGUGGGGGAUAGCCCGGGGAAACCCGGAUUAAUACCGCAUACGUCCUACGGGAGAAAGCAGGGGAUCUUCGGACCUUGCGCUAUUGGAUGAGCCUAAGUCGGAUUAGCUAGUUGGUGGGGUAAAGGCCUACCAAGGCGACGAUCCGUAGCUGGUCUGAGAGGAUGAUCAGCCACAUCGGGACUGAGACACGGCCCGAACUCCUACGGGAGGCAGCAGUGGGGAAUAUUGGACAAUGGGGGCAACCCUGAUCCAGCCAUGCCGCGUGUGUGAAGAAGGCUUUCGGGUUGUAAAGCACUUUCAGUAGGGAGGAAAACCUUAUGGCUAAUACCCAUGAGGCUUGACGUUACCUACAGAAGAAGCACCGGCUAACUCCGUGCCAGCAGCCGCGGUAAUACGUAGGUGGCAAGCGUUGUCCGGAAUUAUUGGGCGUAAAGCGCGCGCAGGUGGUUUCUUAAGUCUGAUGUGAAAGCCCACGGCUCAACCCGUGGGAGGGUCAUUGGAA